rnacentral:rRNA from 1 species
CCUACGGGAGGCAGCAGUGAGGAAUAGUGGUCAAUGGACGAGAGUCUGAACCAGCCAAGUAGCGUGAAGGAUGACUGCCCUAUGGGUUGUAAACUUCUUUUAUAUGGGAAUAAAAUGUUCCACGUGUGGGAUUUUGUAUGUACCAUAUGAAUAAGGAUCGGCUAACUCCGUGCCAGCAGCCGCGGUAAUACGGAGGAUCCGAGCGUUAUCCGGAUUUAGUGGGGUUACAGGGAGCGUAGGUGGUUUGGUAAGUCAGUUGUGAAAGUUUGCGGCUCAACCGUAAAAUGGCAGUUGAAACGGGCAGUCUUGAGUACAGUAGAGGUGGGCGGAAUUCGUGGUGUCGCGGUGGCAUGCUUAGAUAUCACCAAGAACUCCGAUUG